UUAGUUAAGUGAAUAAGGGCGCACGGUGGAUGCCUUGGCACUAGGAGCCGAUGAAGGACGGGACUAACACCGAUAUGCUUCGGGGAGUUGUAAGUAAACUUCGAUCCGGAGAUUUCCGAAUGGGGGAACCCACUGUUCGUAAUGGAACAGUACUUAUACCUGAAUACAUAGGGUAUAAGAGGCAGACCCGGGGAACUGAAACAUCUCAGUACCCGGAGGAAGAGAAAGCAAAUGCGAUUUCCUGAGUAGCGGCGAGCGAAACGGAAUUAGCCCAAACCAGAAAGUUUACUUUCUGGGGUUGUAGGACAUUCCAUACGGAGUUACAAAAGAAUUCUUUAGAUGAAUCGAUCUGGAAAGGUCAGCCAAAGAGGGUAACAGCCCUGUAGUUGAAAAAGAAUUCUCUCUGGAAUGUAUCCUGAGUACGGCGGAACACGUGGAAUUCCGUCGGAAUCCGGGAGGACCAUCUCCCAAGGCUAAAUACUCCCUAGUGACCGAUAGUGAACCAGUACCGUGAGGGAAAGGUGAAAAGCACCCCGGGAGGGGAGUGAAAGAGUACCUGAAACCGUGUGCCUACAAGUAGUCGAAGCGCGUUUUUGCGUGACGGCGUACCUUUUGUAGAAUGGACCGGCGAGUUACGAUCGUAUGCAAGGUUAAGUGGAAGACACGGAGCCGCAGCGAAAGCGAGUCUGAAUAGGGCGAAUUUAGUAUGCGGUCGUAGACCCGAAACCGUGUGAUCUACCCAUGUCCAGGGUGAAGGUCAGGUAACACUGACUGGAGGCCCGAACCCACGUAUGUUGAAAAAUGCGGGGAUGAGGUGUGGGUAGGGGUGAAAUGCCAAUCGAACACGGAGAUAGCUGGUUCUCUCCGAAAUAGCUUUAGGGCUAGCCUCAAGAAAUCGAGUACUGGAGGUAGAGCACUGAUUGGACUAGGGGCCCUCAUCGGGUUACCGAAUUCAGUCAAACUCCGAAUGCCAGAUACUUAGACUUGGGAGUCAGACUAUGGGUGACAAGGUUCAUAGUCGAAAGGGAAACAGCCCAGACCACCAGCUAAGGUCCCAAAGUAUACGUUAAGUGGAAAAGGAUGUGGAGUUGCCCAGACAACCAGGAUGUUGGCUUAGAAGCAGCCACCAUUUAAAGAGUGCGUAAUAGCUCACUGGUCGAGUGACUCUGCGCCGAAAAUGUACCGGGGCUAAACGUAUCACCGAAGCUGUGGAUUGUCUUU
rnacentral:rRNA from 2 species